rnacentral:rRNA from 1 species
CGUAGGGCGCAAGCGUUGUCCGGAUUUAUUGGGCGUAAAGAGCUCGUAGGCGGCUUGUCGCGUCGACUGUGAAAACCCGCAGCUCAACUGUGGGCUUGCAGCCGAUACGGGCGGGCUAGAGUUCGGUAGGGGAGACUGGAAUUCCUGGUGUAGCGGUGAAAUGCGCAGAUAUCAGGAGGAACACCGGUGGCGAAGGCGGGUCUCUGGGCCGAUACUGACGCUGAGGAGCGAAAGCGUGGGGAGCGAACAGGAUUAGAUACCCUGGUAGUCCACGCUGUAAACGUUGGGCGCUAGGUGUGGGGGGCCUCUCCGGUUCUCUGUGCCGCAGCUAACGCAUUAAGCGCCCCGCCUGGGGAGUACGGCCGCAAGGCUA